rnacentral:rRNA from 1 species
CCCUUAGAUGUUCUGGGCCGCACGCGCGCUGCACUGUUCGACGCAGCGAGUCUUAACCUUGACCGAAAGGUUUGGGUAAUCUUCAGCAAAGUCGAACGUGAUGGGGAUCGAUCAUUGCAAUUAUUGAUCGUGAACGAGGAAUUCCUAGUAAGUGCAAGUCAUCAGCUUGCGCUGAUUACGUCCCUGCCCUUUGUACACACCGCCCGUCGCUACUACCGAUUGAAUGGUUUAGUGAGAUCUCUGGAUUGACGCUGGCUAGGGGGCGACCCUUGGCCAGACUGCUCGAGAAACUGCUCAAACUUGAUCAUUUAGAGGAAGUAAAAGUCGUAACA